GAGAAAGACAUAAUGGCUAUGACAUUGGCUUGAAACCAGUUUUAGGAGGUUCGAUUCCUUCCUUUCUUA
rnacentral:tRNA from 1 species